UGCCCAAGAGACUGGGAUAACACCUGGAAACAGAUGCUAAUACCGGAUAACAACACUAGACGCAUGUCUAGAGUUUGAAAGAUGGUUCUGCUAUCACUCUUGGAUGGACCUGCGGUGCAUUAGCUAGUUGGUAAGGUAACGGCUUACCAAGGCAAUGAUGCAUAGCCGAGUUGAGAGACUGAUCGGCCACAUUGGGACUGAGACACGGCCCAAACUCCUACGGGAGGCAGCAGUAGGGAAUCUUCCACAAUGGACGAAAGUCUGAUGGAGCAACGCCGCGUGAGUGAAGAAGGGUUUCGGCUCGUAAAGCUCUGUUGGUAGUGAAGAAAGAUAGAGGUAGUAACUGGCCUUUAUUUGACGGUAAUUACUUAGAAAGUCACGGCUAACUACGUGCCAGCAGCCGCGGUAAUACGUAGGUGGCAAGCGUUGUCCGGAUUUAUUGGGCGUAAAGCGAGUGCAGGCGGUUCAAUAAGUCUGAUGUGAAAGCCUUCGGCUCA
rnacentral:rRNA from 1 species